AGUACUUGUAAGAGGGAGAUUGUGUGGAUGAAGGGUAGCGGAACUGGAGCGUGUAAAGCCCCGGUCUCCGUCUAUGCUACCGUCGAGGGGAGGAGAUGGGCACAACUGCCUAGAGCGCAGCUUCCUUGCAUGCACUCCUCGCUUCUUGGCGGUUCUUCCUUGUGGACUGUGAGUAGUCACUAGGCUCAAAUGUAUCCUUGUGAUAUAAUAAAAGCCUGGGACUUUUGUUGUAACUGCCAGUAGGCAGUUGCUUGCAGUCGUUGUUGUUCAUUUGUGUUGUACUCUGAACACCCUGACUUCUUAAAGUAGAGUCAACUAUUGUAAUCUUGCAAAAUUUUGUUAAUAUGAAAG
rnacentral:lncRNA from 1 species